AUCUGUUGGCAUUCGUGCUGCCGGCUGCACUGCUGUUGGCUUCUUACCAAAUAAAUGCAGUACACAAGCUACGAGUUGGACCUCUGACCUAUUAAGCAAAUGGGCUUACAUAAAACUUUACCAGCCGUAACUGCGAGUGGAGGCAUGAAAAGGAAGACGGAGAGGGAGAUGGAGAGGGGAGAGGGGAGAAACUGCAGUAAAACAAAGCGUGUAGAAAUAAUGUGCUAAACGAACAAAGCUUUAGCAUGGGCCUGGGAAUCAACGAAAGUCAUUUGGCCUGUGGGCGGUUUUAAGCAAAUACAAAUAAAAUUAACUAAACUCAAAA